rnacentral:lncRNA from 10 species
UUGCAUGGCACUGAUGGUUCUUUGCAUAGAGUACUGUGUGUAAUGAGCCUAUAGGUCCUUAUGACUCCCUGAUCUAGAAACUAAAUUAGAGACAUUGUGUUUGGGGGCAAAUAGAUCACUUCGAUGCCUUUAGUAUUGAACUCAUGGAGUUCUGGGUGGGUGGCCAGGGGCAUUGUCCAGUAUCAAAACAACUUUAAAAGGCAGUCCUUUACUGGCAAGGUACUUCCUGACUUCAAAGACAAAACAGCAAUGGAGCCAAUCCAGAAAAAGGGUUCUUGUCGUCCAGGCCUUCUUGUUAUACUGCCAGAAGACUGGCAGCUGGUGUUUAUCUUUUCCCUUCAAGACUUGGGAGUUAACAGCUUUAUAGAUAAGUGCAGUCUUGAUCAUAAACCCAACAGCAUUUGCAAAAACCCAUAGCAUUAGCCUGUCCCUUUCUGCCUUAAACCCUGGUGCUCACUUCUCUUCUUUACUAAUAAAUGUUCUUUGUGGCAUAUUAUUAUUUUUCCAUAAUAGGGCACUUCUGUCUGCCUUAAGAACCUGUUUUGGUAGAUAUGCUUUCUCCUCAAUGAUUUUCUUAAUGGCAUCUGGGAACUCAUUUGCUGCCUCUUGGUCAUCAGGAGCUGCCUCUUCUGUUAUCUUAACAUUUUUAAAGCCAAACUUCUUUCUAAUAUUAUCAAGCCAUCCUUUGCUGGCAUUAAAUUCUCUAGAUUUAGAUCCUUCACCUUCCUUUUGCUUUAAAUUGUCAUAUAAUGACCGCCUUUUCUCCAAUCAUAUUAGAGCCUAUAGGUACGUCUUUCUUGUAGCAAUACUGCACCCACAUAAAAGUUGCAUUUUUAAUACGAGAUAAAAAGGUAUAUCACAAAAAGUGUAAGGUUUGCUGGUAUAGAUGCAGUAAUGGCUUCAUAAAUUUUCUUAAUUUUUUUUAACAGUGGUCCUUAUGCUGGAUUCAUUUAUCUUGAAGGAUGGGCAACUACAGCUGCAGACCAGUACACAUCAAGCAAUUUAACUUUUUCUUGUAAUGUCAUGACUUUGCUCCUUGGGAGCACUUCCAGCGUCACUAGCGGGACUUCAUAUGGGUCCCUUGGUAUUAUUGCAAGGUUUAUGGUUGUACUAAACAUGAUGAAAAAUAACUGAGAACCAUGAGAGAUCACUUUUUACUACGAUACACAAUUUACUGGAGAGAUGAACUGCCCAUGUGGAGAUGAUAAACAUCACAUGGCAUUUUAAGUGAAUACAGCACUUGAGCUCACAGCAACAGCAACAGGAGGUAGCUCUGAAAUUAUGGUAGUAGUGCAGUAUGUACUAUAGUUAAUCUUAUCCAGUUGUAAUUUAGUACUGCAUCUUUAUGUUUGUCUCAACUGCAAAUGGCUCCAAUGUAUAGUCUGUGUAUGCGUUAAGUUUUGAUAAAUUUUAACUUUUUUUUUUUUUGAGAUGGAGUCUUGCUCUGUUGUCCAGGCUGGAGUGCAGUGGCACCAUGCCGGCUCACUGCAACCUCUGUCUUCUGGGUUCAAGUGAUUCUCCUGCCUCAGCCUCCCAAGUAGUUGGGAUUACAGGCAUGCAUCCCCAUGCCCAGCUAAUUUUUGUAUUUUUAGGAGAAACAGGGUUUCACCAUGUUGGCCAGGCUGCUCUUGAACUCCUGACCUCAGGUGAUCCGCCUGCCUCGGCCUCCUGAAGUGUUGGGAUUACAGGCGUGAGCCACUGCGCCCGGCCAAUUUUAACUUUUCAUAAUAGAUUUGUAUAUAUUUAUGGUAGUAAAUGAUAAAAUAGACUAGUGUCUACAUAUAUUAUAUGAAUUCAUGACACACCUUUUUCUUAGUUUUUCAGUAUUUCUAAGCUACAUGGUGCAUCUGCAAGUUUUUUAAAUUGUUGCAAAUUUCCAAAAAAAUUUUCAAUAUAUUUAUCAAAAUAUGCAUAUAAGCGGUCCUAUGCAGUUCAAACCCGUGUUUGAGAAUCAACUUUAUGACUUCCAGUGUCAUUCUCCACCAUUUCUGCAGUUUAUCACAUUUUGCUUCAGGCAGAUUUGGUAAAUCUUCAAUGAUAGUUCUCUAGGCCAUUGUUUUGUAACAUGAUCAAAUGCUUAAUGGGAAAUAGAAUAUGUAUAUGUAUUCUUUGUCUACCAACUACCAAAGAAACAAAUACUCCUCAGUUUGACUUGACUUAGUAAAUAAACUUGUGUUGGGUUAAUGGA